UUCCUGCCUAAUUAUAAGAAGUAAUUCCUGCCCAGUGACUAACGUUUAACGGCCGCGGUAUCCUAACCGUGCAAAGGUAGCAUAAUCACUUGCCCGUUAAUUGCGGGCUAGAAUGAAAGGACCAACGAAAUAAAAGCUGUCUCUAUAAGCCCAAUAAAAAUUAAUCUCUAACUGAAGAUUGUUAGAUACCGUCGAAGGACAAGAAGACCCUAUAGAGCUUUAUCCUAUCAAAGACAUAACUCUUUACUAAGAUUCGGUUGGGGCGACCGGGGAAUAAAUAAUCAUCCCUAUUCUAAAGAUCAAUUAAUCACUCUCUUGACCCUUACUAAAGAUCAUAAGAACAAGCUACCUUAGGGAUAACAGGCUAAUCCCACUAAAGAGUCCUUAUCAAUAGUGGGGUUUGGCACCUCGAUGUUGGCUUAGGGAAUCUAUCCGGCGCAAAAGUCGUAUAAAGAUGGUUUGUUCAACCAAGAAUACCCUACAUGAGCUGAGUUCAGACCGGCGUAAGCCAGGUUAGUUUCUAUCCUCGAUAAAUACAUCUAUUUAUAGUACGAAAGGACCUAAAUAAGAAUAAUAGUUAUAGUAAAUGAAUAAAUAUAAUACACAUAUAAAUCUAAUUACACAUCAACUAUG
rnacentral:rRNA from 1 species